rnacentral:rRNA from 1 species
UUAAAUUGAAGAGUUUGAUCAUGGCUCAGAUUGAACGCUGGCGGCAGGCCUAACACAUGCAAGUCGAGCGGUAGCACAGAGAGCUUGCUCUCGGGUGACGAGCGGCGGACGGGUGAGUAAUGUCUGGGAAACUGCCUGAUGGAGGGGGAUAACUACUGGAAACGGUAGCUAAUACCGCAUAAUGUCGCAAGACCAAAGUGGGGGACCUUCGGGCCUCAUGCCAUCAGAUGUGCCCAGAUGGGAUUAGCUAGUAGGUGGGGUAACGGCUCACCUAGGCGACGAUCCCUAGCUGGUCUGAGAGGAUGACCAGCCACACUGGAACUGAGACACGGUCCAGACUCCUACGGGAGGCAGCAGUGGGGAAUAUUGCACAAUGGGCGCAAGCCUGAUGCAGCCAUGCCGCGUGUGUGAAGAAGGCCUUCGGGUUGUAAAGCACUUUCAGCGGGGAGGAAGGCGAUAAGGUUAAUAACCUUGUCGAUUGACGUUACCCGCAGAAGAAGCACCGGCUAACUCCGUGCCAGCAGCCGCGGUAAUACGGAGGGUGCAAGCGUUAAUCGGAAUUACUGGGCGUAAAGCGCACGCAGGCGGUCUGUCAAGUCGGAUGUGAAAUCCCCGGGCUCAACCUGGGAACUGCAUUCGAAACUGGCAGGCUAGAGUCUUGUAGAGGGGGGUAGAAUUCCAGGUGUAGCGGUGAAAUGCGUAGAGAUCUGGAGGAAUACCGGUGGCGAAGGCGGCCCCCUGGACAAAGACUGACGCUCAGGUGCGAAAGCGUGGGGAGCAAACAGGAUUAGAUACCCUGGUAGUCCACGCCGUAAACGAUGUCGAUUUGGAGGUUGUGCCCUUGAGUGCGUGGCUUCCGGAGCUAACGCGUUAAAUCGACCGCCUGGGGAGUACGGCCGCAAGGUUAAAACUCAAAUGAAUUGACGGGGGCCCGCACAAGCGGUGGAGCAUGUGGUUUAAUUCGAUGCAACGCGAAGAACCUUACCUGGUCUUGACAUCCACAGAACUUUCCAGAGAUGGAUUGGUGCCUUCGGGAACUGUGAGACAGGUGCUGCAUGGCUGUCGUCAGCUCGUGUUGUGAAAUGUUGGGUUAAGUCCCGCAACGAGCGCAACCCUUAUCCUUUGUUGCCAGCGGUUAGGCCGGGAACUCAAAGGAGACUGCCAGUGAUAAACUGGAGGAAGGUGGGGAUGACGUCAAGUCAUCAUGGCCCUUACGACCAGGGCUACACACGUGCUACAAUGGCAUAUACAAAGAGAAGCGACCUCGCGAGAGCAAGCGGACCUCAUAAAGUAUGUCGUAGUCCGGAUUGGAGUCUGCAACUCGACUCCAUGAAGUCGGAAUCGCUAGUAAUCGUAGAUCAGAAUGCUACGGUGAAUACGUUCCCGGGCCUUGUACACACCGCCCGUCACACCAUGGGAGUGGGUUGCAAAAGAAGUAGGUAGCUUAACCUUCGGGAGGGCGCUUACCACUUUGUGAUUCAUGACUGGGGUGAAGUCGUAACAAGGUAACCG